AUGUCGUCUUCAAGCGCCCCCAAGGACCAGUUCUUCGAGAAGAUCAUCAACCCCUACCUCGCAGAAGUGCUGCAACACCCUCAAAUCAUUGAGAUGCGUGAGGGGUUGUUGCACAUCCGUGAUGCUGAGGAACUAAGGAAGACCAGAAGCACAGAGGCAAGGCUCGAGGCAUUGGAGCAAGAAGUUUUCAAGUGUCAGGAGAUGGUGGAGCGUGGACGCGAUUCCAAUCACAUUAUGAUCACGGAGUUCACCAACAACCACAAGCUGUACAUUGGGGAGGCCAUCUUCAAGCUUCAUGAGAAAAACGAGCACCUCCAAGCCCAGAUCUAUGACCUGCAAAAUCAAAACUGUGAGUAUGAAUAUAGAUUCAAGAGGAUGAGUUUGGCCGCAGAUUUGAGGUUUCAGGAGACUCGUUCAUCUUUCUAUGAUGGCGAGCCUAUGCCUUGGAAGAAGGACGACAAGCCUACGCCAUCAACAAAAUCACCACCGUCUCCACCAACAAAGAAGAAUAGAGUAUCUGGUAUGGGCACUCCCCUUGGCAACUGCCAAGCUUGGGGGAGUUCCCCGGUAUCGUAUCACCAUCACUUUUAUCUUUAUCGUUUUUCUUAG
rnacentral:rRNA from 1 species